rnacentral:rRNA from 1 species
AUUGAACGCUGGCGGCAGGCCUAACACAUGCAAGUCGAGCGAGCGGCGGACGGGUGCGUAAUGUCUGGGAAACUGCCUGAUGGAGGGGGAUAACUACUGGAAACGGUAUCUAAUACCGCACUCCAUCAGCUGUGCCCAGAUGGGGUUAGCUAGUAGGUGGGGUAACGGCCCACCUAGGCGACGAUCCCUAGCCGGUCUGAGAGGAUGACCAGCCACACUGGUACUGAGACACGGCCCAGACUCCUACGGGAGGCAGCAGGGGGGAAUAUUGCGCAAUGGGCGCAAGCCUGAUGUAGCAAUGCCGCGUGUGUGAAGAAGGCCUUCGGGUUGUAAAGCACUUUCAGCGGGGAGGCGUUACCCGCAGAAGAAGCACCGGCUAACUCCGUGCCAGCCGCCGCGGUAAUAC